UCAGGCGAAAGAUGGUGAUAAGUUGUGACAACAUCGCCUAAAGCUAGUCAACAUUGAAUUGGGAUUC